CGCCCAGACUCCUACGGGAGGCAGCAGUGGGGAAUAUUGCACAAUGGGGGAAACCCUGAUGCAGCGACGCCGCGUGAGUGAAGAAGUAAUUCGUUAUGUAAAGCUCUAUCAGCAGGGAAGAAAAUGACGGUACCUGAGUAAGAAGCCCCGGCUAACUACGUGCCAGCAGCCGCGGUAAUACGUAGGUGGCAAGCGUUAUCCGGAUUUAUUGGGUGUAAAGGGCGUGUAGGCGGGAAAGCAAGUCAGAUGUGAAAACUCAGGGCUCAACCCUGAGCCUGCAUUUGAAACUGUCAAACUAGAGUACGGGAGAGGUAAGAGGAAUUCCUAGUGUAGCGGUGAAAUGCGUAGAUAUUAGGAGGAACACCAGUGGCGAAGGCGUCUUACUGGACCGAAACUGACGUUGAGGCUCGAAAGCGUGGGGAGCAAACAGGAUUAGAUACCCUAGUAUA
rnacentral:rRNA from 1 species